UACAGAGGUCUCAAGCGUUGUUCGGAAUUACUGGGCGUAAAGGGCUCGUAGGUGGCCAACUAAGUCAUACGUGAAAUCCCUCGGCUUAACCGGGGAACUGCGUCUGAUACUGGUUGGCUUGAGUUUGGGAGAGGGAUGCGGAAUUCCAGGUGUAGCGGUGAAAUGCGUAGAUAUCUGGAGGAACACCGGUGGCGAAGGCGGCAUCCUGGACCAAUACUGACACUGAGGAGCGAAAGCCAGGGGAGCAAACGGG
rnacentral:rRNA from 1 species